AUUGAACGCUGGCGGCAUGCCUUACACAUGCAAGUCGAACGGCAGCACGGGAGCAAUCCUGGUGGCGAGUGGCGAACGGGUGAGUAAUAUAUCGGAACGUGCCCAGUAGUGGGGGAUAACUGCUCGAAAGAGCAGCUAAUACCGCAUACGACCUGAGGGUGAAAGGGGGGGAUCGCAAGACCUCUCGCUAUUGGAGCGGCCGAUAUCAGAUUAGCUAGUUGGUGAGGUAAAGGCUCACCAAGGCGACGAUCCGUAGCUGGUCUGAGAGGACGACCAGCCACACUGGAACUGAGACACGGUCCAGACUCCUACGGGAGGCAGCAGUGGGGAAUUUUGGACAAUGGGGGGCAACCCUGAUCCAGCCAUUCCGCGUGAGUGAAGAAGGCCUUCGGGUUG
rnacentral:rRNA from 1 species